AGCAGUAGCCGCGGUAAUACGUAGGGUGCAAGCGUUAAUCGGAAUUACUGGGCGUAAAGCGUGCGCAGGCGGUUAUAUAAGACAGAUGUGAAAUCCCCGGGCUCAACCUGGGAACUGCAUUUGUGACUGUAUAGCUAGGGUACGGCAGAGGGGGAUGGAAUUCCGCGUGUAGCAGUGAAAUGCGUAGAUAUGCGGAGGAACACCGAUGGCGAAGGCAAUCCCCUGGGCCUGUACUGACGCUCAUGCACGAAAGCGUGGGGAGCAAACAGGAUUAGAUACCCCGGUAGUCCCUGUCUCUUAUAC
rnacentral:rRNA from 1 species